rfam:Satellite virus of maize white line mosaic virus ORF, complete cds.
GAUAUUUCUGCUAGAAAGACUCUUAAUCGUUCUGAACACUUUCUUGAAAGUUGCGGCUGACCACCGUACAGGAAUUCUCUCGCACUAGUCGGGUUUGAAGCGCGGGUGUAUCUAGGAGGGUAAGCCUAGAGCAUAAAUUGUAACUACCGCGAAUAAGGUCAUG